GAGUGAAAGCUCUCUAUGUAAUCUUACCCUUCAGAGAUAAUCCCUUGUUUUCAAGAUGUGGCCACUACUGUUGGGAGAGGUGAAACCAAUAAUUCUGUGGCAGAGCAAGGACAGGGGUCCGUGAUCCCUCUGUCCAAUGCUCUUUCCACCUACUCCUCUUCGAAGGAUGCCUCUACCAGCACCCCAGGUCCUCAGAAACUUUUUGAUGCCAUCGAUAAGGAGGUGACUGACUCAUUCCUCACGCAUCAGUAAAGGUGAUCGCACACUUUUCUGGAAGCCUGAAGCCAUGCCUCCAAACUCGAUUCUUCCGGAUUGUAGGAAACACACCCCGUGGCUGAUUCGUCCUCCACUCCUCUGGCUUUGCAUCCAUCAGUCUUUCUUCACAAGGCUUCACUUUUCAGAACCAGGUUCCCAAAGGUUAUAGAUUCGCAACAAAGAAAGCAGAACUGAGCAUUCUCGGUAAGGUUGGGUCGGCUGGGGUCUUGUAAGCAGAUCAGCCGUGGCCAUCUUGGAAAAUGCCCCAGGGAGAGAGCAAACAGGAGAAGCAGGCAGUGCUAGGGUCCCCUAGCAGAGCCCACAAUACUGUGCUCUAAGAGUUCCCCUAAAGGCCUUUUCACUUUGUCCCGGUAUUCCUGGGGAGGGAAGCCUGCCUGUGGUUGUCAUAUCCUUCUCCCACCACCAUCUGGCGAUGGGGUAGGGAGGGGGUGGGGUGUAGAAUUACAUAUCCUCAGCUCCCCAGUAACAGAGGCGGGAGGGGAGGGGUGGGCAUCCAGAAGCAGUGUGGUUAUCUUGAGCAGCUUUCAACAACAGUAGCAAAGUGAAGUUUAUGCCUCAGGAUGUGUUUGUUUUCUUCAGUGGGGCCCCACGGACAGUCAUGCUCGGCCCAGUUGUCCAUAUGUGCAGAGCCAUCACAGGACAAUAACAACUUUCAUGACAUAACCUGUCAGUUACGAAGCAUCAGGCAGGUGCCGGCCACCAGGCUAGGUGCUUUACACAAAUCAUCUCAUCUGAUCUACUCUAGCAGAGGGCUCUGUUACCGUCUCUGUUUAGAGAUGAAGCAGUCGAGAGUCAGAGAAACUAGCUGCCCAGAGAGUCAGGUUUCCAACCCAAGUUGAUUUCGUUGCAAAGGCUGACAAUGUACAAAAUGUAAAUGCAGGCCCAAUGUCAAAUCUUAGCCCAUGCCUUCCACAGCCUGAGACAAAGCUGAGGGAAGAAGACAAGGUCAACUCAAGUGAGGACUGGCUCCCCCCCACCUUAUGCCAACAAGUGGCCGCUGAGCAAGGCUGCCCUCUUGUUGUCGUGGGUGGAACUUUGGGGGACACCGUGUUACCUGAACACAGGAUAACUACACAUUCCCCUGGAGCCAGGAAUCUGUUAUCCUACCUGGCUGAUUUAUUUAUUUUAUGUUUAAUCCCUUUUUCCCCUAGAAAAAUGAUCUCCUCCUCUUUCGAAACCCUUUGCCAAUAGUUCUGUUGACUGCAGUGACGUGUAAGUGACCACAGCAAUUGAUAAAGAAUGAAGGCUUCCGUCAGAUGUCAGAGUGCAGAGGGAAGCCGAGGUGGCACUAAUCAGGAGGGAUGCCCAAGGUGGCCGAGAGCCCAGAGCGUGUGUUCUUUUCCUUUCACCAUUUUAAAAUUCAUGUCAGUGAAGCCAGGUUCAUGGUGCACCCCUCUGAGAAACCCCUUGCUUCUUAAGCUUAGUCUGCAUUUGCCAUGCCAUUGUUGGAAGAGACCUUAAUUUUCAUUCUUUUCUCUUCUCUGGGCCCCUCCUUCUCUCCCUCCUCCCCAAAUGUUUUAGCAUCUGUUAAUCCCAGUUGGAAACCUUAGCAGAUAAAAGUCGUGUUCUGUGUAGAUUGCUUCCAGAACAAAUAGGGGGUGGUAGAUAAUUUAGCAUUCAGUUUCAGGACAGCUUAGGGUGGGGGCUGUAGAGGCCAGCACCUCUUCCUUCUAAGACAUCCAGUAAAAGCAAAAGCAAAGUAAUUCCCAAGCUCAGAUGGAAUGUAUGUAGAUCAGGUUCAUUUCCAGAACGGCCGCUGCCUGCAUUUAGGUGAUAUUAGAAGCCACCAUGACAGCAAAGUAGUUUUAUGCAUAGCGGCUUAGCGAACACUCUGAGAACUAGUUUAGUGAAGCUAUCAGGUUGAAAAAUACCAAGUCACAAAGUUUUAAUGAAACUAAGUGUGGAUCAACGUAUCAUAAAGAGCAUCCAGGACGACUUAAAAGAUCCAUGGGUGGAAAUUAGAAUGGAUCUUCGGGAUUUAUUUGGCAAAGCCCGUCUAUUUUGACCUUUUUUCCGUUUCAUAUUAAGGCUACUGAAAGUGUGUUUUGUUUGGCUCGGGCUGAAGGAGGACAGCAGCUACUGGGGCUGUUACACCAAGGCUGUCACUGAAGUUUAGCAGCAGUAAUUGACUGAUAAGGGCUGGGCAUCAAAUAGCAGAGAGAAAGGCCAUCGCAGAUUUUCUUGCUUUAUUUCUCUCUGCACUUCAUUUACAUCUUAAGCCAUAUUGGUGAUCCAGAUUUGAAUAAAGCCACAGCUUAAGCCGCGAUUAGAUCUCAAUAGCUUGGAUUUUCUAUGAAAUUGCUGCAUUUUUACUAGAUGUAUUUAGAAAUACUGGUGAAAACUGACACCUUGGGUAACUUUAUCAUUUAAAAUGGUGCUUUGGGUGGAUAAAAAAAAAAAAAAAAAACACCACCACUAAAAUGGGGGUAUUAGUCGCCAGGCCUUUGACUCAAGCAGUGUCAGGGGUUAGAAUUAUACAAAAGCCAGCUGAGCACGAUGUGGGCAAGAAAGAAUGCAGAUAACUCAACCCACCAUCCUUCCCCUAAGCCCACUCUCCCCAAAAAUGUUAAUCGAAGCAGUGAUCCUAUAACCUGAAGAAAAAUAAGGAAGGCAAAAGGAAUGUAUAAUGCAACAAGGAGCUUUUUUAAUGCUGAGAUUUUUUUUUUUUAAUCAUGAAGCAAUAUUUUUAACUCUAAGGUUAACCUGCUAAUCCUUAAGCUGGUGAUAUGACAGUGUCAAAUGUGAUGGGAUUUUGUGAUUCUCAUUAUUGUUAUGUAUUGUUCUUUCCGUGGCAUUCCAUAUUAAUAUUUAUAAAUGCCCUUUUUAUAGAACCAGGAGGACCAAAACCCAUUAUUAAAUUUUUAAAAUGGACAAACCUCGCAUCCAAUAUAGUUGAUUACAAUUUAGAACAAAAAGGAUUUCGGUAGUAAUCCACUUCUGGUUUCUCGUUGUUGUUGAUUUUGUGUGGACAGCAGAGUUCCUGAUGUUAUUUGAACUAACAACGACAGCAACGAAAACCCUACCGUUUGCCCAAAGUAACAUCCAAAUGACAGAGAAUAACAGAAUAUUGAUUCUGCUUCACAAGAAGGAGGUGAAAGGCACCAAAAGCAGAUAAGAGGGCACAGAGGAGAAAAGGUGUGCGUUUAAAACGCUUAAGUCACCCACCCCGAGCAAGGGCAAAAUGAAAGAAUUGAUUUAAAUUUGAAAAUAGAGGGAGGUGGUUCAUUCAGUUGUUUUCAAGUGCCUCAUUUUACUUGACAAGUGGCCUCUGAAGGGUUCAGUAGACAUCCGUGUGUGUGAAAGAGGAAGUCUCUGUAAUAAAGAGAGGCAAAUCAAUCAUCCCAGAGCCUAACCCUAGAGGAGAGUCAAAAUCGACAGCCCAUCUACCCAGUGCACUCUCCUUUCAGCACCAUGGGAUGCAAGUAAACAUCCCUUAGUCAAAAAGGAAGAAAAAGUCUCUCAGCUCAGGGACCUUACUAUGUCUCAGCUCUGAGUAGCCAAGAAUAGUCUUCAGCCCCAGAGAGGAAUAUUCCUCAUGGAAGGAAGAUAUUUUAUGGCCAACUCGCCCUACCACUCCCUCUGCCUCCAAAAGAGCCUAAAUAACUCGGCACAAUUAGCAGGAGUGUGUAUGCCCAAUUGGCUGGCAAAGGGAGUGGCUGGGUGGCCUAGUUUUGUAGAAGAAUAACCAGGGAGGAGAAAGGGUAACAUCUCUAACCUGGAGCAGUUGUGACAAACCAUUAGAAACGUCUCAACUCUAUCCCUUUGGAGAGAAUGUGUUUUCAUGGUCAUAUUUUUAUUCUUGUUUAUAAAAAUCAGUUUUUCCCAACUCAGUAUCCGAAACCUGGGCUUCAGAUUCAGACCCAAGUGUGAGUUCUGGCUCUUCCCCUUCAAGCUGUGUGAUCUUGGGCAAGUUACUUUAUCGAAUUUUCUUGAUAGGGAAACUAACCCUACUUCAUGCUGUCGCUGGGAGAGCCAAAUGUGAUGAGUGCAAGUCGUACGGGCCUGGCCCAAAGCAAGCGUUUGAGAAACAGUAGCUCUAAUUAAUAAACAUAUCUACAGUGUAGGAGAUUUGAAACUCUGGUUGCUUAUUUGUGGAUAACUUUCUCUCUUUUAGCGUCUCCCGGUUUGGGAAUUACAGCCAUGCGUAUGGAUCAUUGAAACUAUAGGUUUCCACGUGCAAAAAACAAACCAGGUGGGGUAUGUGGGGGCCCAGGUUGCUGGAGAAAUUCCAGGCUAUGUUUAGCCUUCUGAGAUAAAACACGAGGGCAUUUAUUUUUAAACACAUCUAAGGUGUUUUCCAACACCAAUAAGGAAAGAGGAAUCAAAACUGAUGCCUAGUGGUUCUGACAGUUAUUCCAUUAUAGUGCAGUUAUGGCCACAGAGGUGAUGUGUUGGCUCCCAGCUGAGGAGUAUUGUAUGUUCGAAGCAGCAAUGGAGUAACUCAAUUCCAAUGAAACCCAAGUUUGGUGAAGCAAUGAGAAGGCUAUUCAUCGUGACCAACCUUUAGAGAAACUGGCCUCGCCUUCUGGGGAAACAUGUCUUACGUUUCAAGCAUGUGUAAUGGCCUGGUUUUGCAACAUGGUGUUAGUUCAGAAAGUAUGCUAAGGAUGCAUCCUUCUCAGCCCUCUCUAAAACUUGUCAGCCUACCUCUUCUUGAAACCCCCAGUGCCCUCCUCUCUUUAGGUGUCUUCAUCUGAACUCUUCUUAGAGGGAGUGCUGAGUGAUUGGAGAGAUGUGCUUGGGGCACCUUCUCCUGCUUUCCACGGGGGACCCCAGGCUUCUGGCUAUGCUUUUCUCAGGCAGUUGGGACCUAAGCAGCCUCAUGGGUCUCCCCUCCCUACCACCACUCACUGCUCCCAAACUGUUCUCCUUCCACUGACUUAUCAAGCUUUACCUGUCCCCUGUUCCAUUUUUUUGGCGGACCCUGAAUGAUCAACCUGGUACCCUAGUAGAAAGCUCCAGGAAAGCUUCAUUAGAAUUGAAUAUAUGCAUUCAGCCAUUGGCACUGGCCUAAGAAGUGUUUGCUAGUGUUCAUUGCUUGCCACUUACCGUGGCAAAUAUUGGAUGAUAGAAAACUUGCCUCCACUCUCUGCACCUCAGUUUAUUCAUCUGUGAAGUGGACGUAACAGUAGCAUCUAUUGCAAGAGGUUGUUACAAAGCAAACAAGACAGAACAGAGAACCGAGAAACAGACUCACGCAGAUACGCCCAAUGGAAUUUUGACAAGGUUGCGGAAGAAACUGAACAGAGGAAAAUGGCUUUUUCAAGUUUCCGGUGCUGAAGCAAUUGGACAUCCUUUGGGUGUGGGGCCCCGGGCGGUGGGGGAAGACCUCCCUUAGUCUUGCAUCAUAUACAAAAAUGCACUCAAAACAGAUUGUGGCCUUAAAUGGAAAAUGGAAAGCUAUAAAACCUUUAGAAACAAACAUAAGGAAAAAAAAGCUUGCGGAUCUAGGGCUAGCAAGUUCUUACAGCUGACACCAAAAGCAUGACCCAUAGAAGGAAAAAUAGAUAAAUUGGACUUUCUCAACAUUGAAAAGUUUGCUCUGCAAAAGCAAAACAAAAAAGCCCGUGAACACAAUGAAAAGCAAAGCUACAGACUGGGAAAAAAUAUCUCAAGUUGUGUACUAAUAAAGACUAGUAAUGUACCAUAUAUAAAACUCAAAAACUCAAAACUCAAGAGUAAAAAAAAAAAUCCAAUGGAAAAUGAGCAAAAGCUGUGAAGAGACAUUUCAUCCAAAAGUAGGUAGAAACUGUAAGAAGCACAUGAAAAUAUGUUCAACCUCAUUAGGGAAAUGUAAAAUAAAACUACAAUGAAACAUGGGUACACACCUAGCAGAAAGACUAACAUAAAAAAAUAGUGACAAACCCAAUGUGAGUGAGGACGUGGAAAAACUAGAUCGCUCGUGCAUUCGUCGUGGGAAUGGAAAACAGUCUGGCAAUUGCUUAAGAAAUUAAACGUGCAACAAUCAUACAACCCAAUAAUUACUCCUGGGCAUUUAUCCCAGAGAAAUGAAGACUUACAUUCACACACAAACCUGUACAGGAAUGUUUACAGAAGCUUUAUUUCUAACAGCCAAAAGGAAACAACCCAGAUAUCCUUUACCAGGUGAGUGGGUAAAAAAAAUGGCACAUCCAUACCACGGGAUGGUCCUCAGCACUAAAGGAUCAUGAACUACUGACACAUGAAACAACCUGGAUGAAUCUCCAUAAAAUUACGCUAAGUGGGGGAAAAAAAAACCCACAAAAGAUUCUGUGCUGCAUAAUUCCAUAUUAAUGACAAAUGUAUAGAAACGGAGAACAGACUAGUGGCUGCUAGGGGUUACAGAGGAGAGGGGGUGAGAGGGAAGUAGGUGUGUCUAUAGAAGGACAACACGAGGGACCCGUGGUGAUGGAAAUACUGUGUAUCUUGACUGUAUCACUGUCAGUAUCCUGAUUCUGACAUUGCUCUUGGAGGAUAUGACUGCUGGGAGAAACUGGAUAAAGGAUGCCCAGGCUCUCUCUUAUUUCCGACAGUGACAUGUGAAUCUACAAUCAUCUCAAACUAAAAAGUUUCACUGAAAUAAUCAAAUGAGUUAAUAUCCAUGACAGACGCAUAGUAAGUCUUUAGUACAUCUUAGCUGUUACUAAUUGCACUUUCCUGCAGUCACUUGGUACAACUUCCGUUUUGUCCAUCUGUCCCUUCUGAAAUACCAUGCAGCAAUGGUACAGCGGUGACACAGUGGCAGCUGGAGUCACCCUCAACUUCUCACCCCAACUCUGAUAGUCAUGAAUCAGCCGUGUGACAUUAGGCGAGAUAAAAAUCUUUCUCCUGCCUUCUUUUCUUCAGAAAUGAGGAUACUAAAUCCCCCUCUACCCCUCAUCAUGGGGCGUUUAGGUUUGUUUGCUUGUUUAAGAAUCAAAUAGAUGAUGUACAGGGAGGGAGGAAGCUUUGAAAACUGUUAAGUGCUACCAAAAUGCUACACAUUGCACAUACGCUUAUUAAAUACCUCGUACUCCUCUACUACCGCUAUUACUAAUAAAUAUGACCAUUUACUCGCUUGAAACCCUAGUUGGAAUUUGGCAUGCAAAUUUCCUGAGUGUUGCUCAUUUGCAUUGGAAAAAAGGAAAGAGGUGGGAGGCCUUUUGAAGCCUUUUGAAAAUUGAGCUCAGGGGGGGAUGAAUUCUUAUCACUGGGCCCAAGGUAUAAUUGAUUUUCUACACAAUGGCUCACAGGUGCUACAUUUAACACCCUGAGUAGUAGGAGGAAGGAAAUGUAUCCCAAGGUGCAGCUUUAACUUAAAAUAUCUCCAGAGUCAGCACCUCCACUCGGGAAGGCUGAGGAGCCUGGGGGCUGGGGUACCCCACCUUUCCUCCAGUUGUCUGAAUGCGCUGAGGGAGACACCUGCUCCUCACUUACUUCUCACCCCACUCAGAGAAUUGGGCCUCAGGUUUCUUAUUUUCAGUGGCCAGAUGCCAACAGCCCCUCUUUUCAGGCCUGGCUCACAAGGUUAGGGAAGAACACAGGGCAAGCCCACCAUGAAAUACAUAUUAAUAUUAUAACAACCCUUUCAGAAUUCACUGUUGCUAUGUCAACAAAGCAGCUGGGGAAAUUGGGUCUUUGGGAAAUUGGGAAAUGAGGUCGGCUUUGGCAACAUGGCAAAUGUUUCCUUCUCUCAGAACAAUUGGUCUGUGACACCAGCCAGCCUUUUUCUACCUACCCUUUCUCCUGCUUAUUUGUGGGAAACUGAGAAGCAAAACAGUGGUCAUUAAGAUUUGGGGUUAGGGAGAUUCUGCGUCAUGGAAAAAGUGACAGAAAUAAAAAUUAUUUCCCUCUCCCCCUCGUCGCCUGUUUAUGUCAGUUUCUCGGUCCCAGCUUGGACGCCACCGGACUGAACGUGGAUGCUGUACCCAGCUCUGUGACUUUAGAUGAAUUACUGACCUCAUCGUAGUCUCAAUUACCUCGUCUUAUGAAACAAAGGACGAGGAGGGGACAAAUCAGAGUGACAGAGCUUUAGACCAGUGCUGUCCACUGUGGUAGCCACCAGUCACCUGUAGCUGUUGAGCACUCGAGACGAGGCAGGACUGAACCGGACUGAAUCAGGAUGGUCUGCAUGUGUAUACACACUGGAUUUUGAAGACACCAUAUGAAAAAAGAACGUAAAAUAUCUCAAUGAUUUUAUUAUUUAGUGACUGCAUGUUGAAAUGAUCACUUCUUCAUAUACCAGGGCAAAUAAAUCGUAUUCUACUUUUUUUAAGUUUUAUUUAUUUAUUUUGGGGAAGGAGGGACACAGAG